rnacentral:tRNA from 1 species
GUCUGGGUGGCGCAAUUGGUUAGCGCGUAUGACUGUUAAUCAUGAGGUUGAGAGUUCGAGCCUCUCCCUGGACG